rnacentral:rRNA from 1 species
UAGGGAAUCUUGGGCAAUGGGGGAAACCCUGACCCAGCAACGCCGCGUGAGGGAUGAAGGCCUUCGGGUCGUAAACCUCUGUCGGGAGGGAAGAACCGUCCCGGGUCGAACAGGCCCGGGGCCUGACGGUACCUCCAAAGGAAGCGCCGGCUAACUCCGUGCCAGCAGCCGCGGUAAUACGGAGGGCGCAAGCGUUGUUCGGAAUCAUUGGGCGUAAAGCGCGUGUAGGCGGCUUGGCAAGUCGGGUGUGAAAGCCCGGGGCUCAACCCCGGAAUUGCAUUCGAAACUGCCUCGCUAGAGUCCCGGAGAGGAAGGCAGAAUUCCCGGUGUAGAGGUGAAAUUCGUAGAUAUCGGGAGGAAUACCAGUGACGAAGGCGGCCUUCUGGACGGCGACUGACGCUGAGACGCGAAAGCGUGGGGAGCAA